GUGGGGAAUCUUGCGCAAUGGGCGAAAGCCUGACGCAGCCAUGCCGCGUGGAUGAUGAAGGUCUUAGGAUUGUAAAAUCCUUUCACCGGUGAAGAUAAUGACUGUAGCCGGAGAAGAAGCCCCGGCUAACUUCGUGCCAGCAGCCGCGGUAAUACGAAGGGGGCUAGCGUUGCUCGGAUUUACUGGGCGUAAAGGGCGCGUAGGCGGACAGUUUAGUCAGAGGUGAAAGCCCAGGGCUCAACCUUGGAAUUGCCUUUGAUACUGGCUGUCUUGAGUUUGGGAGAGGUGAGUGGAACUCCGAGUGUAGAGGUGAAAUUCGUAGAUAUUCGGAAGAACACCAGUGGCGAAGGCGACUCACUGGCCCAAUACUGACGCUGAGGCGCGAAAGCGUGGGGAGCAAACAGGAUUAGAAACCCUGGUAGUCC
rnacentral:rRNA from 1 species